rnacentral:rRNA from 1 species
AGCAGCCGCGGUAAUUCCAGCUCCAAUAGCGUAUAUUAAAGUUGUUGCAGUUAAAAAGCUCGUAGUUGAAUUUCGGGGUCGGUAGGUUGGUCGUGCCACUGGUAUGCACUGGUCUCACUGAUUCCUCCUUCCUGAUGAACCGUAAUGCCAUUAAUUUGGUGUUGCGGGGAAUCAGGACUGUUACUUUGAAAAAUUAGAGUGUUUAAAGCAGGCUCGCGCUUGAAUACAUUAGCAUGGAAUAGUGAAAUAGGACGUUUGAUCCUAUUUUGUUGGUUUCUAGGAUUGACGUAAUGAUUAAUAGGGAUAGUUGGGGGCAUUAGUAUUCAAUUGUCAGAGGUGAAAUUCUUGGAUUUAUUGAAGCUAACUACUGCGAAAGCAUUUGCCAAGGAUGUUUUCAUUAAUCAAGAACGAAAGUUAGGGGAUCGAAGAC